CAGCACUCCGCCCCAUACAACAUUGCAGGUCUAACCACAGCUCUAUAAAGUUUCCCCUUGAGGAACUUUCUUGUCACACAGGACUCCUGAUGCAAGCCUUCACUUUGACCACCUCGCUCCUAUACAAUGAGUGACGUCCCUGUCAAUCUCUCCAUCCCCGUGAAUCACCGACCCAAGAUAUCUGACACUGUGCCUUUUGGCGAUGACCUGAGAUCCAAUCAUUACGUCCCUGCCUACUUCGCUCGGCUCGGCGCUAAAC
rnacentral:lncRNA from 1 species